AAUACCCAAUGUGCUCGGUGAUUCGGUUGAUCGAGUAAAGCUCCGGCGCUUCGGGAGAGGCCUGCGGCCCAUCAGCUAGUUGGUAGGGUAACGGCCUACCAAGGCAGAGACGGGUAGGGGGCGUGAGAGCGCGGACCCCCACACUGGCACUGCGACACGGGCCAGACUCCUACGGGAGGCAGCAGUAAGGAAUAUUGCGCAAUGGACGAAAGUCAGACGCAGCGACGCCGCGUGGGCGAUGAAGGCCUUUGGGUUGUAAAGCCCUUUUAUGGGGGAAGAGAAAAAGGACGGUACCCCAUGAAUAAGUCCCGGCUAACUACGUGCCAGCAGCCGCGGUAAAACGUAGGGGACAAGCGUUAUCCGGAUUCACUGGGCGUAAAGAGCGUUGAGGCGGUUCCGUAAGUUGGGCGUGAAAGCUCCGGGCUUAACCCGGAGAUGUCGUUCAAUACUGCGGGGCUUGAGGACAGCAGAGGAAGGUGGAAUUCCCGGUGUAGUGGUGAAAUGCGUAGAUAUCGGGAGGAACACCCGUGGCGAAGGCGGCCUUCUGGGCUGUUCCUGACGCUGAAGGCGAAAGCUAGGGGAGCGAACGGGAUUAGAUACCCCGGUAGUCCUAGCUGUAAACGAUGGAUGCUGGGUGUGGGGGGUGUAAAUUCCCUCUGUGCCGAAGCAAACGCGUUAAGCAUCCCGCCUGGGGACUACGGCCGCAAGGCUAAAACUCAAACGAAUUGACGGGGGCCCGCACAAGCAGCGGAGCGUGUGGUUUAAUUCGAUGCUACACGAAGAACCUUACCUGGGUUUGACAUGCACGUGGUAGGGAACCGAAAGGGGACCGACCUUCGGGAGCGUGCACAGGUGCUGCAUGGCUGUCGUCAGCUCGUGCCGUGAGGUGUCGGGUUAAGUCCCGUAACGAGCGCAACCCUUGCCCUUAGUUACAAGUGUCUAAGGGGACUGCCCGGGACAACUGGGAGGAAGGUGGGGAUGACGUCAAGUCAGCAUGGCCUUUAUAUCCAGGGCUACACACACGCUACAAUGGCCAGUACAAUAGGUAGCCAAGUCGUGAGACGGAGCCAAUCCU
rnacentral:rRNA from 1 species